rnacentral:rRNA from 1 species
AGAGUUUGAUCAUGGCUCAGAUUGAACGCUGGCGGAAUGCUUUACACAUGCAAGUCGAGCGGCAGCGCGGGGGCAACCCUGGCGGCGAGCGGCGAACGGGUGAGUAACAUAUCGGAACGUACCCCGUCGUGGGGGAUAACACAGCGAAAGCUGUGCUAAUACCGCAUACGACCUGAGGGUGAAAGCGGGGGACCGUAAGGCCUCGCGCGAUGGGAGCGGCCGAUAUCGGAUUAGCUAGUUGGUGAGGUAACGGCUUACCAAGGCGACGAUCUGUAGCGGGUCUGAGAGGAUGAUCCGCCACACUGGAACUGAGACACGGUCCAGACUCCUACGGGAGGCAGCAGUGGGGAAUUUUGGACAAUGGGCGCAAGCCUGAUCCAGCCAUGCCGCGUGAGUGAAGAAGGCCUUCGGGUUGUAAAGCUCUUUCGGCCGGGAAGAAAUCGCAUGGGUUAAUACCCUGUGUGGAUGACGGUACCGGAAUAAGAAGCACCGGCUAACUACGUG